UCGUGUUUUUAGAGGAUUUGAUGCUUUAAAGAUGAAAUGAAGCUUGUUUCUGGGUCAUCCCCUAGUGGUCACUUUGACUUCCGCGCCGUAUGAAGGGAUAACAAAAGUGGCUUUAUUUAGGGAAAAAUUUACCAAGGCUAGAAACAUUGGGAACACAGAAACAGGAAAACUGACACAGAUACUGUAGUCUGUCUGUUUUUGUCCUGUUUCUGUCUGCUGUCUUGCCCUGCUGUUAAUUGUUUGCUCCGCCCACUCAUUUGUCACCAUGGACACUAAUUGCUCUCAAUCCUUUCCUCCAGAUGUGUUGUUCUCCGAUUUGUGAUUGGUUCCUGUUUGCUAUAUCUACUGUUUGUUCACUUACCUGGUGUUAGUCGUUGUUGGUAUGUUGUGUGUUUCUGUUUGUUCCCAUUGCCUUUUCGUUCUGCCUUGUGUCGCCUGCCUGACUGUUUUUCUGUUUCGUGUGUUGGCCGAUUAAAAACUGCAUUUGGAUCCUCACUCGCCUUUGUCCCGCCAUGACAGAUACAAAAAUGACAGCAACCAAGAGACACAAGACAACUGGUAUAAAUAAAGGGAUCAAUCAUUUGAAACACAAGGAACAGGGGAUUAAGGAUAGAGCAAGGCAAACUGGUGAUACACAAGACAAAAGCACAUGGCACACGACAAAACGUCCCCCUAGUGUUCAGACAGGGAAGUCCAAGCUGUUCCUGACAAAUAAAUAGAGAAGAUAAGUAAAUAAAGAUGUAAGGAAUUAAGUAAGAAGAGUGAAAGUAGGUAAGAAGAAAGUAAUUAAAUGAAUGAGCAAAUGUCACAGCUCUCAAUUUUUUUUCAUAAAUCACCAUCUCUACAUGUAUGGCAGACUUUCCAUUCCACUGUCUGUUGAAUUCCAACACUGACGCACCUUAUUCUGCUUAAUGAAGUAAAAAAAAAAAUUAGGUGAUCACCUGAACCAGCUCUUGGUUAAUGAGGAAAAGUAUAAAAAGUACCUCAAAUUAAUUGGAGUAAAAUAUCUACUGACCAUGCCAGAAGAAUCGAAAAGAGAAGUUUUGAGCACUGAAAAGGGUUCAAUUCUGGUUUUACUGGCAGAGGGAUACAGUGAGUGUCAGGUUUCUUCCAUCCUUAAAAUUUAAGACCGAGGUUUAUAAGAAUAAGGUUAAGCUGCAAUAGAGACAACAAAGCUACAGACUGGCAGAGGGCAAAAAUGGCCGUUGCCCGGGAUGACUGCCAAAUCAUUUUGAAUGUCACUUGAACAACUGUAGGAUGACAUCAAGUGACCUACAAAAAGAAUGGCAGAUGGGGUGAUGUGCAUGGAGAGGAUGGUUCAAAACAGGCUCCUAGUAGCAGGGCUGAAGUCAUGUAAAGCUUGAAAAGCCCUUCAUUCAUGAGAAGCAAAGAAGAGCCAAGCCAAGGUUUGCAAAAGACCAUAAGGAUUGAAAUGUAGAGAACUGUAAUAAGCUCAUCUUCCCUAAUGAGUCAAUUUUCAGUUUUGCCCAACACCUGGUCAUUUAAUGGUAGACCUGGAGAGGCCUACUGUACAAGCCACAGUGUCUCGUGCCCAGUGUAAAAUUUAGUUGAGAAUCAGUGAUAGCAGUGGUUCAGCAAGGCUGGAAUCUUUGUGACUGGCACAUGAUUCAAGCCUGAAAAGUUUGUCCUGGAAAAAACAUUGUUCCUUCUGCUAUGACAAUGUUCUUCAACUCUGAGUACUGUUUUUUCCAGCAUGACAAUGCUUCAUGCCACACAGACAGGUCAAUCAAGGUGUGGAUGGAGGACCUUCACAUCAAGACUCAGUAAUGUGCAGCCCAGUCUCCAGACCUGAACCCCACUGAAAACCUCUGGAAUGUGAUCACGAGGAAGAUGAAUGGUCACAAGUCACCAAAAGCUGAGCUGCUUUAAUUUUUGUACCAGGAGUAGCAGUCACCCAACAAUUGCGUGAAAGCUUGGUGGAGAACAUGCCAAGAUGCAUGAAAAUCCAGCCUCUUCAUUUUCCCCAGAGUUGUAUGUAACACCCUCGGGCACCUGUAGAUGGAGGUGCAGACCUCCUCCUAGUAUCAUUGGGAUCACAUGAGGACUAUAUCAUCUAUCUACCCACUCAGCUGCCCUUUUACUAACUAUUGUUAUUAUUUGUAUUUUUUUUAAUUCAGAAAUCCUAAACCACAAAAGAAGUCUUUCUCACAUCUGAAACCUUUAAGGAACAUCUGUACUUCAGAUCAUAAUAAAGCUCUGACACCAGGGACUCCUUGUAAAAAUACUAAAUGCACAAAUGUCUCUUCAUAGAAUACUACAAAAAUUACAUGGUUAAAUUUGUUUAUGUGGAGCAUAUGCCAUACCAGGAUCUGUGUAAGCUGUUACUAUAGAAACAAUAUAAUUAGAGCAAAGAUUGAAAUUUGGCAUUUUUUUUUUUUACUUGGAUGGAGAUGUGCUAAAUGUUUAGCUAAAAAAUAACACGCUCAUUUAAAAAGAUCUACAUUAUUUUUCUGAGAAAUCUGAUCAGAGUCAGAGAGCCACACUUGAUGUUUAAUUAACCUUAUCACUCAGAUCUGACUUGGGUGGAAGAUUUUGAAGGGAAUUUUCAAGGGAAUCUCUCAUUGUGAGCUUGGGCUGCUCGGGUUUGAUACAGUAUGUGUGUCUACAGCAUGGGUGACCGAGUGUGUACACCAAUUCACAUUGAAAGUGGCUGAGGCUUUUUUUAGUUGCUAAUGUUUCAGUCCACACUAAUUCAGUGAAGCAUGCAACACGCAUCUGUUGAACUACAAACUGCGUACGUGGCUGAAAUAUAAAGUUCCAUUGAAAAAACAGAUAUUUAAGUAGUUUUCUUAUAUAAAAGAUAAAGUGUUUGCUCUGUAAAUCACUUAUAGAAAGAAUGUAUCUUCUUAAAUCCUAAAUUUAGUAUUUAAAAAAAAAUAAAGUAUUAUUUGCUAACUUAUUGUUUUGGUUUGUAAUUAUGUAAUUAUUUUUUAGGCUUCAUCUUAAAACCAAACAUUUGGUCUGACAGAUGAAAAGGACAUUUUAAAGACAGGACUGACAAACAACUGAAUAAACUGCCUGUUUGACGUCCUUGAUGGAGUGCUGCUUUUAGUAACGCAGAUGUCCAUCGUCUGGCAACAACGCACAUCAAGAACUCAAAUUCUGUUUUGUAUUCAUCAGUUUGCAAUUGAAAUCAAAAAGUGGAGACCACUGGAAGUCAUGGAGGUACACUUUUUUUUUUAAAAAAAUUACAAAAGUUACAGCAGUGACAUAUAUACUUGUUCAUCAUUUUAAAUCUUUCCAAAAGUUCAUCUGACUAAUCAUCUUGAUUUAUUAUUUAUCACCAGACUGUAUCCACGAUCACAUGAAACUGCACUAGAAUUAGUGAGACACUACAUAGACAUAUUUAGAAGGAAAAUGAACUAAAACACAUCACAGCCUAAUUGUUUUUAACAUCUAAUGCAUCAAUAAUGUGAGCAUGCCACAAACAGUCUGGUUACAGUUUAUUACAGUCUGGUUUGGUUCAGCCACCAAAUCAGACAUAUGUAGGCUGCAAUGGACUGUUAAAACAGCUGAGAGGAUUACUGGUGUGCUCCUGCCCAAUCUCCAGGACUUGUAUAACUGCAGGGUAAAGACACGGGUAGGUAACAUGAUCAAAGUCACCUCCCACCUUGGACACAGUCUGUUUGCACCUCUGCCAUCAGGCAGAUGCUAUAGAUCACUACGCACUAAAACAUCUAGGUACAAGAGCAGUUUCUUUUCACAGGCCAUAUCCAUUUUGAACAGCGAGCACAUCCAUUACCUAUCCUUUCCUUUAAAGUGCAAUAUUCUACAAUGCAAUGUCUUUUACUUGCUAGGCACAUAUGUAAAGAGCUCUACUUUACUUUUGUAUGUUAUUAAAAUGUUUAGCUUUUUACCCAUUUUAGUCUACAUUUUUACCUCUGUUUUUGUGUUUGUAUACACUGUUUAGUAGAACUCCUGUAACCACAACCACAUUUUCUUGAGUGUGUGCAUACUUGGCAAAUAAAGCUGAUUCUGAUUCCUAAAUAUACAAUAUAACAUUUCAUUCAGCCCUCGAUAAUACUAAACCACAGGUGUCACAACAGUUUAGCAGACUUUUAGACCGUUUGUGUUUACGUAUUAGUCAUGGUCAUGUCCUGGCUGUUCACAAGUAGUUGUGAGAUUCUUGAUUUUGGUGAGUGGAAAGAGUUGCCAGAUCUGAAUGACGGAAGGACCAAUGAGAACCAGCCCUAAACCAAUCCAAUAACCAAUACCCCCCAAAAAAAUCAUGACUCGUGAGGUGUAAUAUUUAGCAGUAUAAUUAAUUUACAUUUCCAGCAUUUAGCAGACACUCUUAUCCAGCGCAACAUAAAUUUGAUCUCAUUUUAUAAAACUGGGCAACUGAGGGUUAAGGGCCUUGCUCAGGUGCCCAACAGUGGCAGCCUGGUGUAUGUGGGAAUCAAACUUGAUUGGCAGUCCAACACCUUAACCUCUAAGCUAUCACAUCCCUCGGUCAAUUCUAUCAUUCAAUUUUAACAAUGUUUUUAAAAACAAAUUUAUCAUUUAAUCACCAGCCCAGAAAUCUCAUCUCUCACUGUACUAGUUUGGAGGAGGAACAUGUGCACCUGCCUGGCAUUUGGGAAGACAGAUAUGAUUGGCUUAAAACAAUGUGGGUGUGGCUACAAACGUGACGUUUAGUGUUUACAUCGUCGUGGCUGUUCACUUACUCAACAGUGGACAGUUUCAGUGAUUACAUGCUUGUGCAAGCACUUCAGCUGCAGUGCAAAAGGAACAGGGGAGACACGAAGAAUAUCUCUAAUCAGUUUGCUCCAGUUAUAAUCUGUGUUUCUUUAAAACAUCCAAGUGGGAGAUGGAGUUCUCUCUGAUCCCAGCACAGGUUCCAGUGAAUGUCCUAUUGCUAUGGAAAUUCUAUUGUAUCAGAAUGAAUGCAUGGAUAAAUUAGAAAUCGUCUGAUUUCAAAACUGCUAGGUAAAAGGUAGGAAAAAUAAAAAUAAAGCAUUAUCCAGUCACUUUCAUGGAUUCCCC